UAUGGCUGUGGUGGGGGCUUGUGCUGCAGGGCGCGGGGCCGUCGCGGUGAUGAUCGCUCAGACUAGAGUCUCCGACCGCUCUGAGGACACCGCAGCGCCUGAGCGACGGCCCCGCCCGGCUCCGCGCCCCGCUCCGCCCUCACCGCUCUCUUUUCGCAGGCUUCCGACGCCGGAUCGCUCCCAUAGCGGGUCGGCGAACUGGAAGAUUUUGGGGGCCGGAAAAGGCGGCUUUUGGGGCUGCGCUGAGGUAAAGCUGGGAUUUGUGGGCAAUAAAUGCGGUUUUAAAUCCG